rnacentral:lncRNA from 1 species
AUUUAUGGUUAGGUUUAGGUAGGGUUUUAGGGUUAGGUUUAGGCAGGGUUUAGGGUUAGCAGGGUUUAGGGUAGGGUUAGGUAGGCUUUAGGGUUAGUAGGGUUUAGGGUUAGGUAGGGUUUAGGGUUGGUAGGGUUUAGGGUUGGUAGGUUUUAGGGUUAGGUACAGUUUAUGGUUAUGUAGGGUUUAGGGUUAGUAGGGUUUAGGGUUAGUAGGAUUUAGGGCUAGAAAGGGUUUAGGGUUAGAAAGGUUUUAGGGUAAGGUAGGGUUUAGGGUUAGUAGGGUUUAAGGUUAUGUAGGGUUAGGGUUAGGUAGGGUUUAGAAUUAGGUAGGGUUUAAGGUUAGCAUGGUUUAGGAUUAAAAAGGGUUUAGGGCUAGUAGGAAUUAGGGUUAGUAGGAUUUAAGGCUAGAAUGGGUUUAGGGUUGGGUAAGAUUUAGGGUUAGGCAGGGUUUAGGGUUAGGUGAGGUUUAGGGUUAGAAGGGGUUUAGGGUUAGGUAGGGUUUAGGGUUUGAUAGGGUUUAGGAUUCGGUAGGGUUUAGGGUUAGGUAGGGUUUAGGGUUAGAAAGGGUUUAGGGUUAGCAUGGUUUAGGGUUAGUAGGGUUAAUAGGAUUUAAGGCUAGAAAGGAUUUAGGAUUAGGUAGGAUUUAAGGUUAGGCAAGAUUUAGGGUUAGGUCAGGUUUAGGGUUAGAAGGAGUUUAGGGUUAGAAAGGGUUUAGGGUUAGAAAGGGUUUAGGGUAGGUAGGGUUAAGGGUUAAGUUGGGUUUAGGGUUAGGUAGGGUUUAGAAUUAGGUAGGGUUUAGGGUUCGGUAGGGUUUAGGGUUAGGUAGGGUUUAGGGUUAGAAAGGGUUUAGGGUUAGCAUGGUUUAGGGUUAGUAGGGUUAAUAGGAUUUAAGGCUAGAAAGGAUUUAGGAUUAGGUAGGAUUUAAGGUUAGGCAAGAUUUAGGGUUAGGUUAGGGUUAGGUAGGGUUUAGGGUAGGUGGGGUUUAGGAUUAGUAGGGUUUAGGGUAGGUGGGGUUUAGGGUUACGGUUAGGUAGGGUUUUAGGGUUAGGAAGGGUUUAGGGUUAGGUAGGGUUUAGGGUUAAAUAGGGUUUAGGGUUAGGUAGGGUUUACGUUUAGGGUUAGGUAGGUUUACAAUUAGAUAGGUUUAGGGUUUAGGUAGCAUGAAGGGUUUAGGGUUAGGUUUAUGUAGGGUUUAGGGUUUGAUAGGGUUAAGGUCUAGGUUUAUGUAGGGUUUAGGGUUAGGUAGGAUUUAGGGUUUUAGGCAGUAGAAAAGGUUUAGCGUUUGGUUUAGGUUGGGUUUAAGGUUUGGUUUAGAAUAAUGCUUAGGAUUAUAGGGUUUAGGGCUUGUUUGUUUUUUUGUUUAUGCAUUUAGUGCUGAGUUUUUGGGAUAAAAUUUUAUGUUAAUAUUAUUGAUUUAUAGUUUUUCUUAAAAAUGUUAAAAAUUUUAAAGUGAUUUUUAAUGUUCUUAAAAUAU